GCGUAUGGAAAAUAUGUAUAUUCAACAGCAAUACAACUGCAAUAAUGAAACACUAAUGGAAUAGUGUAAAAAUAUGGUGUGAGUGAUGCCCGAGCUGGUACGUUAUAAGAUUCCACCUGACAGAGAGGAAUUCAGAAUUAAUAGCAGAACAGAGAAGAAGCACCGAUAGAGAGAAGAUUCAGGGAGGAAAUUCAUACCACAUGCCUGCCUCUCUAGCUCACACGUAAUCCUUCAAAUAGGUGUUUCUCUUGGCUGGACGCGUGCUCUUUCUAACAGCUUCUUUGGUACCAGAAUUCUCUAUUAAUUUACCCAUUUCUCCCUUACCC
rnacentral:lncRNA from 1 species